rnacentral:lncRNA from 10 species
CCUUCGGGGCCGGAUAUCCCCACUCUCGCGGGCUCUUUCGCGUGGACCCCUCCUCCGGCCGACACUCACACUGCGGUGAACGCCAGUCAGCUGGCGUGAAAUAAGGUCGCUGGGAAGGCACCAAGUCACCAAGGUGGGGGAUGGCCAGGUCGUGGUAGUUGCGACAAAGAAAAAUAUAAGUCACAUUGCAUUUGUUUCUCGCCCACCCACCGCUCCCGGCGUCUCUUCCCGGGCUCCUUGCCAGCGUGCCGAGGCGCAGGCAGGGUGAUGGAGGCUCCCCGGCCGGGAGGAUCUGCCGGGGAGAGCGGCUUCCCUCAUCGAUUCGGGAGCGCCAGGCCCGGCGCGCCCGGGCUCCUGUGACCUGCGAGCCCGCGAAUUCCAGCGGCAUAAGAUAAGGAGCGGCGAGGGCCCAACAGGACUGAGGCCACCAAGCCUAUUUGAGAUGGAGGGUACUGGGGGAGACGUCAUAAGUGAGCAGUCACAAGUUGGGGUGAAAUUCAUGCACACGACUGGACACUCAUGCUAACGAACCCUUAAAGCUAAACAAAGGCCAAAGACAACCCAAAGCCUUUAAAAAAAUCUCUCACACACCACAGAGCAAAACUGGAAAAACCCAACUCUACUUUCCCAUCACAAUUCAAAAAGGAGCUAAGCCUUCUGGGGAUGUUGGAUGUUUCAGACUGAGAGAGGGUGGCUGACAGGGCCAUCUUUUCUCAGCUGUCUGCAACCUGAGCCAGAGCCCUUCCUGGAGCCCUGGCAAUUGCCCAGUGGCUCCCAGAAGACAUCUCUUUGGACGUCCGGGCUCCCAAGAAGGUUUUAAGUUUGUUCAAGGUCUGAAGUCUGAUGCGCAGAGGUAGCUCCAUGACGCUAGUAAUGGAAUAACACUUCCUUUUUUGGUGAGGAAAGCCCAAUGGGUCUUAGCUAACAAGCUCUCAGCUAUGACUCUAAAAAUACCCUGCAGCGAGUGCUGUUUGGCACUUCAAUUUGUUUGCCAGGGGAGCGCUUAAGAACUCCGCAGAAUGCUUCAGAUUCUCCACAGCUGCUCUAAGCUCUGUCCUCCUCUGGUGACCAAAGCAAGUGUAUCGCUUUGGGAAAGCUGCUUGUUGCUUUUCACUUUUGAGUUCUUGGAAUUCUGCUCUAAAUGUCUGAAGUACAAUUCCAGUCUUGGAUUAAUAACUAGCUUGGUUUUGAGUCUUCAUUUGGCUCCUAGUCUGAACUAUGCAAAUGCACGAUCUGUGUACAGAAGAAAAAACCUAAAAUUAUACUUCCAAAGGGCUCAGUCGCUUCCUCUCUCUCCCCAUUCCCCUCAGAAGAAACAUCAGCCUCCCGAAUCCUUUGUUGCCAGCAGCAGGAGCAGCUCCGGGCCUCGUCAGCACAGGCGGCCUUGGCCGCCUACAAGUUGAUGGUGUGUGCGUGCUUCUUGCACAGGGGUCUGUCCUUCUUGGAGUAGAACGGCUGCCCCUCCAGAUUCACAUGGCAGACCUGGAGCAGAGAACAGACCUGCGUGAGACCCACGUGGCACAGGGCAUGAGCAGAUUUCAAUCACUUUUUUAAGAAAACGCCCUGGCCAGGCGUGGUGGCUCAGUCCUGUAAUCCCAGCACUUUGGAAGGCCAAGGCAGGCAGAUCACUUGAGGUCAGGAGUCCAAGACCAGCCUGGCCAACAUGGCGAAACUCCAUCUCUACUAAAAAUACAAAAAUUAGCCAGGGGCAUGUUGCCAUGUGCCUGUAAUCCCAGCUACUCGGGAGGUUGAGGCAGAAGAAUCUCUUGAACCCGGGAGACAGAGGUUGCAGUGAGCUGUGAUUGUGCCACUGCACUCCAGCCUGGGCAACAUAGCAAGACUGUCUAAAGCAAACAAACAAACAAACAAACAGCCUUGCCCCAUGCAUUCUAGAGAAAAGGCAACAGCCUAUUUCUCCCACUAUGAAUUCUUAAUGACGGAAGCAGAGUACAUGAGUUGGACUAUAUAAAAACUAAGAUUCCUGAAGAACAGAAUAAAAUCAAAUGAAAUUAAUUAAAUUUAAUGGAAUAGAGAAAAUAUACACUAUGAAGCUGACCAAUUCAUGCUAUCUAAAAUAGCAUGAAUAGAGUCAAUACAAGUUCACAAGUCAAUAUACCACAGAGAGGAUUCACGUCUAAAGAAAAUCAUUAGUAAACUAACAAACACAUCAGAGAAGAUUGUACUCACUAAUAAUUAAAGAAAAAGCAAAUUAAAACUCCCCUGACUCCAGGCGCAGUAGCUGAUGCCUGUAAUCCCUACACUUUGGAAGGCCAAGGCAGGAGGAUCGUUUGAGGCCAGGUGUUUGAGACCAGCCUGGGCAACAUAGUGAGCCUCUGUCUCUACCAAAAAAAAAAAAAAAGAAAAAGAAAGAAAGAAAAGAAAAUUAGUUAAAAAAAUUACAAGAAAAACUGCCCUGAGAUACCACUAGACACAUAUUAAUCUAGCAAGACAAAUAAAACAAAAAAACCUCAAUGGCCUGUCACCUUUAACCUAAUAUGCCUGUAGCCAAAAAGCUUAAAAAAAAAAAAAGUAUUCAAUCAAAAAUCAGCAAUGCCAAAAAGGAACAAGGCCUACUCGUGCACUGCUAGAGACAUGUGAGUGAGCUCAGUGUUCCAUAGGGAAUCUGGCCAUGUUGAACAAGAACCAUUGAGAUGUGACUACCCUGUAACCCAGUAAUGCCACGCUAGAGAAUUUUAUCCUGCAGAAGCAACUCUGCAGAACAACAAAACAACCUGUGCUCAACUAGAAACUGAAAACUAGUAAAAUUUCUCUCAAUAGGAAGAUGAUUCAGUAAAUUUUCAUGGUGUAUUUUUCCAAUGGAAUGCCACCAUUUAAAAAGAGAGAUGGGCCAGGCAUGGUGGCUCACGCCUGCAAUCCCAGCAUUUUGGAAGGCCGAGGCAGGAGGACCACGAGAUCAGGAGUUUGAGAUCAGCCUGACCAACAUGGUGAAACCUUGUCUCUACUAAAAAUACAAAAAUUAGCCGGGUGUGGUGGUGCGCACUGGUAAUCCCAGCUACUCAGGAGGCUGAGGCAGGAGAAUCACUUGAACCCGGAAGACGGAGGUUUCAGUGAGCUGAGAUCAUGCCACUGUACCCAAGCCUGGG